AGAUACCUUCGGGACGGCCCGGACACGCCUUACAUUAGGCUCAUGAUGUGAAACUUUGAAUUCCUUCACUUCCUUUUUCAAACAACCCACCCGAAACCCUCUAGCAGCCCGCAUACCUUUCUCGUUUCCCUAGUCUUCAAACACAUUUCUCACUCGCUAUUCCAGUGAGAAACUUACAUAGAAAGCAGCUUUUGGGGAUGGGGGUCGGUGGCCAAGGGAGGGAAAGUAACGGGAUGCGUCGUGUAAAUAUUUCACGUUGGAAUCACUACUUUUUAUAACAGGACGUAGUUGCGAAUAAAUAAACAUCCUGUGCCUCGUAAUACUUUUUUUUUUUUUUUUUAACAGGGUCUCGCUGUGUUGCCUAGGCUGGAGUACAUUGGCACAAUCAUAGCUCACUGCAGUCUGGACCUCCCGGACUCAAGGGACCCUCCAGCCUCAGCCUCCUGAGUAGCUGGGACCGCAGGCACGUACCGUUACACCUAGCUAAGUGUGUGUAAGUUGUGUGUGUGUCUGUGUGUGUGUGUGUGGAGACCGAGUCUUGCUGUGUUGCCCAGGUUGGUCUCAAACUCCUGGACUCAAG
rnacentral:lncRNA from 1 species